AGUGAACGCUGGCGGUAGGCCUAACACAUGCAAGUCGAACGGCAGCACAGUAAGAUCUUGCUCUUACGGGUGGCGAGUGGCGGACGGGUGAGGAAUACAUCGUACUCUACUUUUUCGUGGGGGAUAACGUAGGGAAACUUACGCUAAUACCGCAUACGACCUACGGGUGAAAGCAGGGGAUCUUCUGACCUUGCGCGAUUGAAUGAGCCGAUGUCGGAUUAGCUAGUUGGCGGGGUAAAGGCCCACCAAGGCGACGAUCCGUAGCUGGUCUGAGAGGAUGAGCAGCCACACUGGAACUGAGACACGGUCCAGACUCCUACGGGAGGCAGCAGUGGGGAAUAUUGGACAAUGGGCGCAAGCCUGAUCCAGCGAUACUGCGUGGGGGAAGAAGGCCUUCGGGUUGUAAAGCCCUUUUGUUGGGAAAGAAAAGCAGCAGGUUAAUACCCCGCUGUUCUGACGGUACCCAAAGAAUAAGCACCGGCUAACUUCGUG
rnacentral:rRNA from 1 species